rnacentral:rRNA from 1 species
GACGAACGCUGGCGGCAUGCCUAAUACAUGCAAGUCGAGCGGAGUUAUGAAGGAGCUUGCUCUUGAUUAACUUAGCGGCGGACGGGUGAGUAACGCGUGGGAAUCUGCCCUUGGGUUCGGAAUAACUCGCCGAAAGGCGUGCUAAUACCGGAUGAUGUCGUAAGACCAAAGAUUUAUCGCCCAGGGAUGAGCCCGCGUAAGAUUAGGUAGUUGGUGAGGUAAAGGCUCACCAAGCCGACGAUCUUUAGCUGGUCUGAGAGGAUGAUCAGCCACACUGGGACUGAGACACGGCCCAG